UACGUAGGGGGCAAGCGUUGUCCGGAUUUACUGGGCGUAAAGAGCGUGUAGGCGGCCAGGCAGGUCUGUUGUGAAAACUGGAGGCUCAACUUCCAGACGUCGACAGAAACCGCUUGGCUAGAGUCCGGAAGAGGAGAGUGGAAUUCCUGGUGUAGCGGUGAAAUGCGCAGAUAUCAGGAAGAACACCGAUGGCGAAGGCGGGCUACUGGGCCGAUACUGACGCUGAUGCGCGAAAGCCAGGGGAGCGAACGGG
rnacentral:rRNA from 1 species